rnacentral:tRNA from 4 species
GCCCCUGUAGCUCAGCGGAUAGAGCAUCGGCUUCCGGAGCCGUGUGCGCAGGUUCGAUUCCUGCCAGGGGCGCAA